CCCUUACAUUACUGUAAGACGCUUUGGAUAAAAGUGUCUGCUAAACGGCAUAUA
rfam:Salmo salar isolate Sally breed double haploid chromosome ssa13, whole genome shotgun sequence.